UUUAGCUCAUUGUAGGAGCAGCCAAUAGCUUUCACUCUUGGAAGCUAAGCAGGGCUGUGCCUGGUUAGUAGUUGGAUGAGUGACCAACUUGAAAGACCAGGGCCUGCUAUCC
rnacentral:rRNA from 12 species